rnacentral:tRNA from 1 species
GGGCCGGUAGCUCAGUUGGUAGAGCAGCUGACUCUUAAUCAGCGGGUCACAGGUUCGAACCCUGUCCGGCUCACCA